rnacentral:rRNA from 1 species
UACGUAGGGUGCGAGCGUUGUCCGGAAUUAUUGGGCGUAAAGAGCUCGUAGGCGGUGUGUCGCGUCGGCCGUGAAAACUUGCAGCUUAACUGUGGGCGUGCGGUCGAUACGGGCAUCACUGGAGUUCGGCAGGGGAGACUGGAAUUCCUGGUGUAGCGGUGAAAUGCGCAGAUAUCAGGAGGAACACCGGUGGCGAAGGCGGCUCUCUGGGCCUGUCCUGACGCUCAGGCGCGAAAGCUAGGGGAGCGAACAGG